GGAAGGGAUAAGUGCUGAAAGCAUCUAAGCAUGAAGCCCCCCUCAAGAUGAGAUUUCCCAUAGCGUUAAGCUAGUAAGAUCCCUGAAAGAUGAUCAGGUUGAUAGGUUCGAGGUGGAAGCGUGGUGACACGUGGAGCUGACGAAUACUAAUAGAUCGAGGACUUAACCAU
rnacentral:rRNA from 1 species